UUCAAUUCUAUCACAAUACAGAAAAAUAUAUAUAUGAAAGAAACAAUAAUGACAUACACAAUGUGGCUCAAUCAAUUGUUAUGUGCCCAGUACCAAUGCGGGAGGAUCAUUUGGGCCGCAGCGGGAUUUACUCUUAAUAUACGCAAUCUGUUGCGUAGUAUGUCCAGUCUAUAGUAAAAAUGUGUGUGUGAGCUGACCUGCCGAGGAUCUUGGACACGCAGCCGUUGGAGACCUGCAGGAUGCGGCUGAUGUCGCAAGGUCGCGCGCCGGAGUGCGCCAACUCCACGAUCUUCUGCCGCGUCGAGUCCGGCAGAG